CCUACGGGAGGCAGCAGUGAGGAAUAUUGGUCAAUGGACGAGAGUCUGAACCAGCCAAGUAGCGUGAAGGAUGACUGCCCUCUGGGUUGUAAACUUCUUUUAUAUGGGAAUAAAAUGUUCCACGUGUGGGAUUUUGUAUCUACCAUAUGAAUAAGGAUCGGCUAACUCCGUGCCAGCAGCCGCGGUAAUACGGAGGAUCCGAGCGUUAUCCGGAUUUACUGGGUUUAAAGGGAGCGUAGGUGGAUUGUUAAGUCAGUUGUGAAAGUUUGCGGAUCAACCGUAAAAUUGCAGUUGAAACUGGCAGUCUGGAGUGCAGUAGAGGUGGGCGGAAUUCGUGGUGUAGCGGUGAAAUGCUUAGAUAUCACGAAGAACUCCGGUUGCGAAGGCAGUUCACUGGACUGCAACUGACACUGAGGCUCGAAAGUGUGGGUAUCAAACAGGAUUAGAUACCCCUGUAGUC
rnacentral:rRNA from 1 species